rnacentral:rRNA from 1 species
AUUGAACGCUGGUGGCAGGCCUAACACAUGCAAGUCGAGCGGAUGAAGGGAGCUUGCUCCUGGAUUCAGCGGCGGACGGGUGAGUAAUGCCUAGGAAUCUGCCUGGUAGUGGGGAUAACGUCCGGAAACGGGCGCUAAUACCGCAUACGUCCUGAGGGAGAAAGUGGGGGAUCUUCGGACCUCACGCUAUCAGAUGAGCCUAGGUCGGAUUAGCUAGUUGGUGGGGUAAAGGCCUACCAAGGCGACGAUCCGUAACUGGUCUGAGAGGAUGAUCAGUCACACUGGAACUGAGACACGGUCCAGACUCCUACGGGAGGCAGCAGUGGGGAAUAUUGGACAAUGGGCGAAAGCCUGAUCCAGCCAUGCCGCGUGUGUGAAGAAGGUCUUCGGAUUGUAAAGCACUUUAAGUUGGGAGGAAGGGCAGUAAGUUAAUACCUUGCUGUUUUGACGUUACCAACAGAAUAAGCACCGGCUAACUUCGUG